rnacentral:pre_miRNA from 1 species
AUAAUAUAAGAAACCGUCUCUUAAUUUUUAACUAAAAAAACUAAAAACCGGUUCUUAAAAUAAGAUAUUUAAGAGCCGGUUUUUAGUUUUUUUAGUUAAAUGUUAAGUGACAUUUUUUUAUAUUCU